rnacentral:rRNA from 1 species
CCUACGGGAGGCAGCAGUAGGGAAUAUUGCUCAAUGGGGGAAACCCUGAAGCAGCAACGCCGCGUGGAGGAUGAAGGUUUUCGGAUUGUAAACUCCUUUUGUUAGAGAAGACAAUGACGGUAACUAACGAAUAAGCACCGGCUAACGCCGUGCCAGCAGCCGCGGGUAUACGGAGGGUGCAAGCGUUACUCGGAAUCACUGGGCGUAAAGAGCGCGUAGGCGGGAUAGCAAGUCAGAUGUGAAAUCCUAUGGCUUAACCAUAGAACUGCAUUUGAAACUGUUAUUCUAGAGUAUGGGAGAGGUAGGUGGAAUUCUUGGUGUAGAGGUGAAAUCCGUAGAGAUCAAGAGGAAUACUCAUGGCGAAGGCGGCCUGCUGGAACAUAACUGACGCUGAUGCGCGAAAGCGUGGGGAGCAAACAGGAUUAGAUACCCGAGUAGUC